rnacentral:tRNA from 1 species
UAGCUCAGUGGGUAAAUCAUCUGCCUGCAAUGCAGGAGACCCAGGUUCGAUUCCUGG